GAUGAACGCUAGCGGCAGGCUUAAUACAUGCAAGUCGAGGGACAGCACAGGUAGCAAUACUGGGUGGUAACCGGCAAACGGGUGCGGAACACGUACACAACCUUCCUUUAAGUGGGGGAUAGCCCAGAGAAAUUUGGAUUAAUACCCCGUAAUAUAGUUGAAUGGCAUCAUUUGAUUAUUAUAGCUACGGCGCUUAAUGAUGGGUGUGCGGCUGAUUAGAUAGUUGGCGGGGUAACGGCCAACCAAGUCUACGAUCAGUAGCUGAUGUGAGAGCAUGAUAAGCCACACGGGAACUGAGACACGGGCCCGACUCCUACGGGAGGCAGCAGUAAGGAAUAUUGGUCAAUGGACGCAAGUCUGAACCAGCCAUGCCGCGUGAAGGAUUAAGGUCCUCUGGAUUGUAAACUUCUUUUAUUUGGGACGAAAAAGGGCCUUUCUAGGUCAACUGACGGUACCAGAUGAAUAAGCACCGGCUAACUCCGUGCCAGCCGCCGCCGUAACAC
rnacentral:rRNA from 1 species